GAUGAACGCUGGCGGCGUGCCUAAUACAUGCAAGUCGAGCGAACAGAUGAGGAGCUUGCUCCUCUGACGUUAGCGGCGGACGGGUGAGUAACACGUGGAUAACCUACCUAUAAGACUGGGAUAACUUCGGGAAACCGGAGCUAAUACCGGAUAAUAUAUUGAACCGCAUGGUUCAAUAGUGAAAGACGGUUUUGCUGUCACUUAUAGAUGGAUCCGCGCCGCAUUAGCUAGUUGGUAAGGUAACGGCUUACCAAGGCAACGAUGCGUAGCCGACCUGAGAGGGUGAUCGGCCACACUGGAACUGAGACACGGUCCAGACUCCUACGGGAGGCAGCAGUAGGGAAUCUUCCGCAAUGGGCGAAAGCCUGACGGAGCAACGCCGCGUGAGUGAUGAAGGUCUUCGGAUCGUAAAACUCUGUUAUUGGGGAAGAACAAAUGUGUAAGUAUCUAUGCACGUCUUGACGGUACCUAAUCAGAAAGCCACGGCUAACUACGUG
rnacentral:rRNA from 1 species